rnacentral:lncRNA from 1 species
GUCCCAUGUGUGGGGAGAGGCUAUCCCACUUCUGUGCUAUGAUGUUGACAUCAAAGGAGGCUACAGAGAGGGAAAGAGACUCACAUGCACUCAGCUAAGUGACAGAGUUGCUAACAAGGAGAUCAGGGAGGGAGCAGAGAAGCUGAGCAGGUCUUGCGUUGCCAUGGAGUUUGUUGAAUUAAACAAAGAACAAGGAGAUUCUGAUAAGAUGGCGUGACCCUGGCUGCCCAAUUUCUAUAUGCCAGGUGCAUAUCUGGAACCCUGAUGAAUACUCACCAGGCCUGCCACCCUUCUCCUCUCACUAAUGGGGAUUCAGACUCUGGAACCGACGAUAUAAAGGUUUAUUUCUCUCUCCAUCUACCUCCUGCUGGAAGAUUCCCCCUUGUUGCUGGCCCAGUAAACUCCUACAAUUAUCACCCAGGUCUCAGCUCUGCUCACAAGUAGACCCAAUGUUUGAUGUGAAUCUUGCUCUCUCUCGAGAUCACAUGACACACUGGGUGCAACCUUGUGGUUGCUCACCUCCAUCGGGCAUUCAGUUCCCCAGCUGACUUCCUGUGUGAGUUGCUAAGAAGCAUUUAGCACCUGCACACCAAGCACGUGUUCAUGGACCAGGAAGCAGACCCAAAAUGUCUUAGGAAAAAUCUCGGCUUGAUGAAAGCCCAUAAUGAUGCUUAAGUCAUGCCUCACACUGUGUCUUAUUAUUGCUGAUAUUAAAGCAUGAUAAGCAAUAUCCUAGUUGAUUUAUCAUUGGCUUCACCUGAUACUUCUGCAGUAUGUGCAAUUUUCUCCCCUGGUACCCAGAAAAGAAUAGAAAAUAUUUUACUUUAUUAAGCACUUUAAGGACAAGAUUCAGAGGUAUAGAAGCCAGCAUUUAGUUCCUUUGCAGUGUUAGGGUUUGGGCUUUUUAUAUCCUUUGGUAUUCCUCAAGCAUCUUUUGUAAUGCUGUUAGGUAGGCAAUUUAUCUCGUUUAGGUUUCUCCUCCACCUCAAUGUUCAAUAGACUCACCUGAUGCUUUUUGAGCAUAUGUGAUAUAUAAGCUGUUCUUCCAAGUGCUGAAGCCCUAGGAUUUAAUAGAACCACGAAGGGCCCCUACCUUCCCGUUGAUUACUGUCUGCCUAGAGAGGCCCAUAAACAAGAUAAAUAGAUUUACAGUAAAAGACU